GAUGAACGCUAGCGGCAGGCUUAAUACAUGCAAGUCGAGGGAAAGCACAGGUAGCAAUACUGGGUGGUAACCGGCAAACGGGUGCGGAACAAGUACACCACCUUCCCUUAAGUGGGGGCUAGCCCAGAGAAGUUUGGAUUAAUACCCCGGCAUAUAGUGGAAUGGAAUCAGUUGAUUACUAUACCUACGGCGCUUAAUGAUGGGUGUGCGGCUGCUUAGAUAGUUGGCGUGGUAACGGCCCACCAAGUCUACGAUCAGUAGCUGAUGUGAGAGCAUGAUCAGCCACGCGGGCACUGAGACACGGGCCCGACUCCUACGGGAGGCAGCAGUAAGGAAUAUUGGUCAAUGGACGCAAGUCUGAACCAGCCAUGCCGCGUGAAGGAUUAAGGUCCUCUGGAUUGUAAACUUCUUUUAUUUGGGACGAAAAAGGGCCUUUCUAGGUCAACUGACGGUACCAGAUGAAUAAGCACCGGCUAACUCCGUGCCAGCCGCCGCAGUAAAAC
rnacentral:rRNA from 1 species